UCCGGUUGAUCCUGCCGGACCUGACUGCUAUCGGAUUGAUACUAAGCCAUGCGAGUCAUUGUAGCAAUACAAGGCAUACGGCUCAGUAACGCGUAGUCAACCUAACCUAUGGACGGGAAUAACCUCGGGAAACUGAGAAUAAUGCCCGAUAGAACAUUAUGCCUGGAAUGGUUUAUGUUCCAAAUGAUUUAUCGCCGUAGGAUGGGACUGCGGCCUAUCAGUUUGUUGGUGAGGUAAUGGCCCACCAAGACUAUUACAGGUACGGGCUCUGAGAGGAGUAGCCCGGAGAUGGGUACUGAGACACGGACCCAGGCCCUAUGGGGCGCAGCAGGCGAGAAAACUUUGCAAUGUGCGAAAGCACGACAAGGUUAAUCCGAGUGGUUUCUGCUAAAGAAACCUUUUGUCAGUCCUAGAAACACUGAUGAAUAAGGGGUGGGCAAGUUCUGGUGUCAGCCGCCGCGGUAAAACCAGCACCUCAAGUGGUCAGGAUGAUUAUUGGGCCUAAAGCAUCCGUAGCCGGCUCUGUAAGUUUUCGGUUAAAUCUGUACGCUCAACGUACAGGCUGCCGGGAAUACUGCAGAGCUAGGGAGUGGGAGAGGUAGACGGUACUCGGUAGGAAGUGGUAAAAUGCUUUGAUCUAUCGAUGACCACCUGUGGCGAAGGCGGUCUACCAGAACACGUCCGACGGUGAGGGAUGAAAGCUGGGGGAGCAAACCGGAUUAGAUACCCGGGUAGUCCCAGCUGUAAACUAUGCAAACUCAGUGAUGCAUUGGCUUGUGGCCAAUGCAGUGCUGCAGGGAAGCCGUUAAGUUUGCCGCCUGGGAAGUACGUACGCAAGUAUGAAACUUAAAGGAAUUGGCGGGGGAGCACCACAAGGGGUGAAGCCUGCGGUUCAAUUGGAUUCAACGCCGGA
rnacentral:rRNA from 1 species